rnacentral:rRNA from 1 species
GACGAACGCUGGCGGCGUGCCUAAUACAUGCAAGUCGAACGAGAGCGACCGGUGCUUGCACUGGUCAAUCUAGUGGCGAACGGGUGAGUAACACGUGGGUAACCUGCCCAUCAGAGGGGGAUAACAUCCGGAAACGGAUGCUAAAACCGCAUAGGUCUUCGAACCGCAUGGUUUGAAGAGGAAAAGAGGCGCAAGCUUCUGCUGAUGGAUGGACCCGCGGUGCAUUAGCUAGUUGGUGAGGUAACGGCUCACCAAGGCCGUGAUGCAUAGCCGACCUGAGAGGGUGAUCGGCCACAUUGGGACUGAGACACGGCCCAAACUCCUACGGGAGGCAGCAGUAGGGAAUCUUCCGCAAAGGACGCAAGUCUGACGGAGCAACGCCGCGUGAGUGAAGAAGGUUUUCGGAUCGUAAAACUCUGUUGUUAGAGAAGAACAAGUGCUAGAGUAACUGUUAGCGCCUUGACGGUAUCUAACCAGAAAGCCACGGCUAACUACGUG